ACUCCUACGGGAGGCAGCAGUGGGGAAUAUUGCACAAUGGGGGAAACCCUGAUGCAGCCAUGCCGCGUGUGUGAAGAAGGCCUUCGGGUUGUAAAGCACUUUCAGUAGGGAGGAAGGUAGUGUAGUUAACACCUGCAUUUAUUUGACGUUACCUACAGAAGAAGCACCGGCUAACUCCGUGCCAGCAGCCGCGGUAAGUACGGAGGGUGCGAGCGUUAAUCGGAAUUACUGGGCGUAAAGCGCAUGCAGGCGGCCUGUUAAGUCAGAUGUGAAAGCCCGGGGCUUAACCUCGGAAUUGCAUUUGAAACUGGCAGGCUAGAGUCUUGUAGAGGGGUAGAAUUUCGAGGUGUAGCGGUGAAAGUGCGUAGAGAUCUAGAAGGAAUACCAGUGGCGAAGGCGGCCCCGUGGACAAAGACUGACGCUCAGAUGCG
rnacentral:rRNA from 1 species